rnacentral:tRNA from 1 species
GCGGGCGAAGCCGAUUGGUCGAGGCACUGGUCUCCAAAGCCAGCGAACGGGGUUCAAGUCCCCGCGCCCGCG